rnacentral:rRNA from 1 species
UACAGAGGUCUCAAGCGUUUGUUCGGAUUCAUUGGGCGUAAAGGGUGCGUAGGCGGCGCGGUAAGUCGGAUGUGAAAUCUCGGGGCUUAACUCCGAAACUGCAUUCGAUACUGCCGUGCUUGAGGACUGGAGAGGAGACUGGAAUUUACGGUGUAGCGGUGAAAUGCGUAGAUAUCGUAAGGAAGACCAGUGGCGAAGGCGGGUCUCUGGACAGUUCCUGACGCUGAGGCACGAAGGCCAGGGGGAGCAAACGGG